rnacentral:rRNA from 1 species
GAUGAACGCUGGGGGCGUGCCUAAUACAUGCAAGUCGAGCGAACGGACGAGAAGCUUGCUUCUCUGAUGUUAGCGGCGGACGGGUGAGUAACACGUGGAUAACCGACCUAUAAGACUGGGAUAACUUCGGGAAACCGGGGCUAAUAACGGAUAAUAUUUUGAACCGCAUUGUUCAUAAGUAAAAGACGGUCUUGCUGUCACUUAUAGAUGGAUCCGCGCUGCAUUAGCUAGUUGGUAAGGUAACGGCUUACGAAGGCAACGAUGCAUAGCCGACAUGUGAGGGUUAUCGGCCACACUGGAACUGAGACACGGUCCAGACUCCUACGGGAGGCAGCAGUAGGGAAUCUUCCGCAAUGGGCGAAAGCCUGACGGAGCAACGCCGCGUGAGUGAUGAAGGUCUUCGGAUCGUAAAACUCUGUUAUUAGGGAAGAACAUAUGUGUAAGUAACUGUGCACAUCUUGACGGUACCUAAUCAGAAAGCCACGGCUAACUACGUG